CCUACUCCUAGAGGCAUUUCAGGUGUGACUGCUGUGUCACAUGUGUGUCAGUAGGUGACAGAGAGGAGACAACCCAUGUCCACACUCAGUGUUCUGACCUGUGAACAUCCCAAUGAUUAGCCUAACAUU